CGGUAAUUCCAGUUCCAAUAGCGUAUGCUAAAAUUGUUGCGGUUAAAACGUUCGUAGUUGUACGUUCCUCCAGGGCACUCGGAUUUUUCGUACAGAAGGUUCCGAGUGGUCUGUGAAAUUAUCUUACAAAGCGGUCUCUUGCUGAGCACGCGGAAAGGGAUACUUGUACCUUGAAGAAAUUAGAGUGCUUCAAGCAGAUUAUUGUCUGAAUAUUAUAGCAUGGAAUAGUUGGAGAAGACACUGGUUCUAUUAGAGAUUUGUAGAGCAGGUGUAAUAGUUGAGAGGAACAGAAGGGGGCAUUCAUAUUCGCAUGUGAGAGGUGGAAUUCUUGGAUCUUGCGAAGGUGGACUACUGCGAAAGCAUUUGUCAAGAAUGUUUUCAUUAAUCAAGAACGAAAGUUAGGGGAUCGAAGACGAUUAGAUACCGUCCUAGUCUUAACCAUAAACCAUGCCUUUUGGAGAUCAGGUGAACCUCGAACGCAGAGGAUUCUGGCAUCCUAGGGGAAACUAAAAUUUUUGGGUUCCGGGGGGAGUAUGGUCGCAAGACUGAAACUUAAAGGAAUUGACGGAGGGGCACCACCAGGAGUGGAGCUUGCGGCUUAAUUUGACUCAACGCGAGAAAUCUCACCAGGUCCAGACAUGGGAAGGAUUGACAGAGAAGCAGCUUUUUCUCGAUUACAUGGGUGGUGGUGCAUGGCCGUUCUCAGUUGGUGGGGUGAUCUGUCUGGUUGAUUCCGAUAACGAACGAGACCUCGACCUACUAAAUAAUUAGCACUUUGCUGUAAGUGAUGAUUUCUUAGAGGGACUUUUCGUGUCCAACGAAAGGAAGUAUGAUGCUAUAACAGGUCUGUGAUGUACUUAGAUGUUCUGGGCUGCACGCGCGCUACACUGACAUAGACAGAGAGAUGUUCCUAUCCGAGGGGAGUGGAGAAACUUGAGAGGAUAUGUCGUGAUGGGGAUAGUUUAUUGCAAUUAUUGAACUUAAACGAGGAAUUCCUAGUAAGCGUAUGGAAUGAACUUACGCUGAUUACGUCCCUGCCCCUUGUACACACCGCCC
rnacentral:rRNA from 1 species